GAUGAACGCUGGCGGCGUGCCUAAUACAUGCAAGUCGAGCGAACAGAUGAGGAGCUUGCUCCUCUGACGUUAGCGGCGGACGGGUGAGUAACACGUGGAUAACCUACCUAUAAGACUGGGAUAACUUCGGGAAACCGGCGCUAAUACCGGAUAAUAUAUUGAACCGCAUGGUUCAAUAGUGAAAGACGGUUUUGCUGUCACUUAUAGAUGGAUCCGCGCCGCAUUAGCUAGUUGGUACGGUAACGGCUUACCAAGGCAACGAUGCGUAGCCGACCGGAGAGGGUGAUCGGCCACACUGGAACUGAGACACGGUCCAGACUCCUACGGGAGGCAGCAGUAGGGAAUCGUCGGCAAUGGGCGAAAGCCUGACGGAGCAACGCCGCGUGAGUGAUGAAGGUCUUCGGAGCGUAAAACUCUGUUAUUAGGGAAGAACAAAUGUGUAAGUAACUAUGCACGUCUUGACGGUACCGAAUCAGAAAGCCACGGCUAACUACGUG
rnacentral:rRNA from 1 species